rnacentral:rRNA from 1 species
CCUACGGGAGGCAGCAGUAGGGAAUCUUCCACAAUGGGCGAAAGCCUGAUGGAGCAACGCCGCGUGGGUGAAGAAGGUCUUCGGAUCGUAAAACCCUGUUGUUAGAGAAGAAAGUGCGUGAGAGUAACUGUUCACGUUUCGACGGUAUCUAACCAGAAAGCCACGGCUACCUACGUCCCAGCAGCCGCGGUACUACGUAGGUGGCAGGCGUUAUCCGGAUUUAUUGGGCGUAAGGGGAACGCAGGCGGUCUUUUAAGUCUGAUGUGAAAGCCUUCGGCUUAACCGGAGUAGUGCAUUGGAAACUGGGAGACUUGAGUGCAGAAGAGGAGAGUGGAACUCCAUGUGUAGCGGUGAAAUGCGUAGAUAGAUGGAAGAACACCAGUGGCGAAAGCGGCUCUCUGGUCUGUAACUGACGCUGAGGUUCGAAAGCGUGGGUAGCAAACAGGAUUAGAUACCCCUGUAGUC